rnacentral:rRNA from 1 species
UCCACGCCGUAAACGAUGAUUACUCGUUGGUUGGUGAUACACAAUCAGCGACUGAGCGAAAGCAUUAAGUAAUCCACCUGGGGAGUACGCUCGCAAGAGUGAAACUCAAAGGAAUUGAACGGGGGCCCGCACAAGCGGAGGAACAUGUGGUUUAAUUCGAUGAUACGCGAGGAACCUUACCUGGGCUUAAAUGUAGAAGGACAGAUCGGGAAACUGAUUUUCUUCGGACUUUU